rnacentral:rRNA from 1 species
ACCAUGCAGUCGAGCGGUAGCACAGGGGAGCUUGCUCCCUGGGUGACGAGCGGCGGACGGGUGAGUAAUGUCUGGGAAACUGCCUGAUGGAGGGGGAUAACUACUGGAAACGGUAGCUAAUACCGCAUAACGUCGCAAGACCAAAGAGGGGGACCUUCGGGCCUCUUGCCAUCAGAUGUGCCCAGAUGGGAUUAGCUAGUAGGUGGGGUAAUGGCUCACCUAGGCGACGAUCCCUAGCUGGUCUGAGAGGAUGACCAGCCACACUGGAACUGAGACACGGUCCAGACUCCUACGGGAGGCAGCAGUGGGGAAUAUUGCACAAUGGGCGCAAGCCUGAUGCAGCCAUGCCGCGUGUGUGAAGAAGGCCUUCGGGUUGUAAAGCACUUUCAGCGAGGAGGAAGGUGGUGAACUUAAUACGNUCAUCAAUUGACGUUACUCGCAGAAGAAGCACCGGCUAACUCCGUGCCAGCAGCCGCGGUAAUACGGAGGGUGCAAGCGUUAAUCGGAAUUACUGGGCGUAAAGCGCACGCAGGCGGUUUGUUAAGUCAGAUGUGAAAUCCCCGGGCUCAACCUGGGAACUGCAUUUGAAACUGGCAAGCUAGAGUCUCGUAGAGGGGGGUAGAAUUCCAGGUGUAGCGGUGAAAUGCGUAGAGAUCUGGAGGAAUACCGGUGGCGAAGGCGGCCCCCUGGACGAAGACUGACGCUCAGGUGCGAAAGCGUGGGGAGCAAACAGGAUUAGAUACCCUGGUAGUCCACGCUGUAAACGAUGUCGAUUUGGAGGUUGUGCCCUUGAGGCGUGGCUUCCGGAGCUAACGCGUUAAAUCGACCGCCUGGGGAGUACGGCCGCAAGGUUAAAACUCAAAUGAAUUGACGGGGGCCCGCACAAGCGGUGGAGCAUGUGGUUUAAUUCGAUGCAACGCGAAGAACCUUACCUACUCUUGACAUCCAGAGAACUUNCCAGAGAUGCUUUGGUGCCUUCGGGAACUCUGAGACAGGUGCUGCAUGGCUGUCGUCAGCUCGUGUUGUGAAAUGUUGGGUUAAGUCCCGCAACGAGCGCAACCCUUAUCCUUUGUUGCCAGCGGUUCGGCCGGGAACUCAAAGGAGACUGCCAGUGAUAAACUGGAGGAAGGUGGGGAUGACGUCAAGCUCAUCAUGGCCCUUACGAGUAGGGCUACACACGUGCUACAAUGGCGUAUACAAAGAGAAGCGACCUCGCGAGAGCAAGCGGACCUCAUAAAGUACGUCGUAGUCCGGAUUGGAGUCUGCAACUCGACUCCAUGAAGUCGGAAUCGCUAGUAAUCGUAGAUCAGAAUGCUACGGUGAAUACGUUCCCGGGCCUUGUACACACCGCCCGUCACACCAUGGGAGUGGGUUGCAAAAGAAGUAGGUAGCUUAACCUUCGGGAGGGCGCUUACCACUUUGUGAUUCAUGACUGGGGUGAAGUCGUAACAAAGGUAACCAA